rnacentral:rRNA from 1 species
AUACGGAGGGUGCAAGCGUUAUUCGGAAUCACUGGGCGUAAAGGACGCGUAGGCGGGUUGGCAAGUCAGAUGUGAAAUCCUACAGCUUAACUGUAGAACUGCAUUUGAAACUGCUAACCUAGAGUAUGGGAGGGGGAGAUGGAAUUAGUGGUGUAGGGGUAAAAUCCGUAGAUAUCACUAGGAAUACCGAAAGCGAAGGCGAUCUCCUGGAACAUAACUGACGCUAAGGCGUGAAGGCGUGGGGAGCAAACAGGAUUAGAAACCCCAGUAGUCC